AUUUCUCUGGUUUAUCAUGAACCAUCUUUUCCAGAAGCCUUCUACCACACAGCCCUCUCAAGAUAACUGGCCAUGACUGUGUCUGAUAGCCAAACUACAGAUGUUCUUAAUCUGAAAAUUCAUUCACUCUUUUUAUUGGAUACCUA
rnacentral:lncRNA from 1 species